rnacentral:rRNA from 1 species
CCUACGGGAGGCAGCAGUGGGGAAUAUUGCACAAUGGGCGCAAGCCUGAUGCAGCCAUGCCGCGUGUAUGAAGAAGGCCUUCGGGUUGUAAAGUACUUUCAGUCGGGAGGAAGGUGGUAAGGUUAAUAACCUUAUCAAUUGACGUUACCGACAGAAGAAGCACCGGCUAACUCCGUGCCAGCAGCCGCGGUAAU